UCAGGCCUAACACAUGCAAGUCGAACGGCAGCACGGACUUCGGUCUGGUGGCGAGUGGCGAACGGGUGAGUAAUACAUCGGAACGUGCCCAGUCGUGGGGGAUAACGUAGCGAAAGCUACGCUAAUACCGCGUACGAUCUACGGAUGAAAGCGGGGGAUCGCAAGACCUCGCGCGAUUGGAGCGGCCGAUGGCAGAUUAGGUAGUUGGUGGGGUAAAGGCUCACCAAGCCGACGAUCUGUAGCUGGUCUGAGAGGAUGAUAAGCCACACUGGGACUAAGACACGGCCCAGACUCCUACGGGAGGCAGCAGUGGGGAAUUUUGGACAAUGAGCGCAAGCCUGAUCCAGCCAUUCCGCGUGCAGGAUGAAGGCCUUCGGGUUGUAAACUAAAGUGUACGGAACGAAAAGGCUCUGGUUAAUACCCGGGGCUC
rnacentral:rRNA from 1 species